GAUGAACGCUGGCGGCGUGCCUAAUACAUGCCAGUCGAGCGAACGGACGAGAAGCUUGCUUCUCUGAUGUUAGCGGCGGACGGGUGAGUAACACGUGGAUAACCUACCUAUAAGACUGGGAUAACUUCGGGAAACCGUAGCUAAUACCGGGUAAUAUUUUGAACCGCAUGGUUCAAAAGUGAAAGACGGUCUUGCUGUCACUUAUAGAUGGAUCCGCGCUGCAUUAGCUAGUUGGUAAGGUAACGGCUUACCAAGGCAACGAUGCAUAGCCGACCUGAGAGGGUGAUCGGCCACACUGGAACUGAGACACGGUCCAGACUCCUACGGGAGGCAGCAGUAGGGAAUCUUCCGCAAUGGGCGAAAGCCUGACGGAGCAACGCCGCGUGAGUGAUGAAGGUCUUCGGAUCGUAAAACUCUGUUAUUAGGGAAGAACAUAUGUGUAAGUAACUGUGCACAUCUUGACGGUACCUAAUCAGAAAGCCACGGCUAACUACGUG
rnacentral:rRNA from 1 species